rnacentral:rRNA from 1 species
AGAGUUUGAUCAUGGCUCAGGAUGAACGCUGGCGGCGUGCUUAACACAUGCAAGUCGAACGAAGCACUUUAUUCGAAUUCUUCGGAAGGAAGAUUUAGUGACUGAGUGGCGGACGGGUGAGUAACGCGUGGGCAACCUGCCUCAUACAGGGGGAUAACAGUUGGAAACGACUGCUAAUACCGCAUAAGCGCACAGUACCGCAUGGUACGGUGUGAAAAACUCCGGUGGUAUGAGAUGGGCCCGCGUCUGAUUAGCCAGUUGGCGGGGUAACGGCCCACCAAAGCGACGAUCAGUAGCCGACCUGAGAGGGUGACCGGCCACAUUGGGACUGAGACACGGUCCAAACUCCUACGGGAGGCAGCAGUGGGGAAUAUUGCACAAUGGGGGAAACCCUGAUGCAGCGACGCCGCGUGAGCGAAGAAGUAUUUCGGUAUGUAAAGCUCUAUCAGCAGGGAAGAAGAAUGACGGUACCUGACUAAGAAGCACCGGCUAAACACGUGCCAGCAGCCGCGGUAAUACGUAUGGUGCAAGCGUUAUCCGGAUUUACUGGGUGUAAAGGGAGCGCAGGCGGAAGACUAAGUCUGAUGUGAAAGCCCGGGGCUCAACCCCGGUACUGCAUUGGAAACUGGUCAUCUAGAGUGUCGGAGGGGUAAGUGGAAUUCCUAGUGUAGCGGUGAAAUGCGUAGAUAUUAGGAGGAACACCAGUGGCGAAGGCGGCUUACUGGACGAUUACUGACGCUGAGGCUCGAAAGCGUGGGGAGCAAACAGGAUUAGAUACCCUGGUAGUCCACGCCGUAACG